GAUAAAUCUCAGCUGCAUGCAGUGAGCCUUGAGAAAAUCUACCGAGAAGUACAAAUAAUGAGAAUGCUAGAUCAUCCUCACAUAAUCAAACUUUAUCAGUAGGUAAUGGAGAUCAAAAACAUGUUGUACCUUGUGAUAGCAUAUGCCAAAAAUGGAGAAAUUUUGGUAACCAGUAAUGUUCUACAUGGUGGCUUCUCUAAAGACAAGCAAAGAACAGAGUUCCCAGCUGAUCCUUGA